rnacentral:tRNA from 1 species
GUUUAUAUAGUUUAGAAAAAACGCUGGUCUUGUAAACCAGAGAAAGAUUAAUCUUUUAAACU